UUGUAAAGAGUCAGACUGCACGCGGAAAGUGAAAUCCAACUUAGCCUAUUAUUCCUGAUCGAUGAGAAAAAAACCCCUAUCUAUGGAUCUCUCUCGAUUCAACUUUCCUUAACCCCUUUCAAACCUUCGCCUUGACAGUUUCAGCUUUUUUUAAUACCGAUUCUCAUUCUCUACUCCAAAGCUUCGAUUUCUUAUUCUCUGCUCCGAAACUUGUUCAAUUUCACAUCCCUUCACACAUUUUCGCAGAAGUCACUCACCAAAGCGUAAUAUCUGACGAAGAAGAUGAAGUUGAGUUAAUAUUGAUGAGAGAGAGGAUAAAGAAGAAUUUGAAAUGGGAGCUGGAGAUACCAACAAGGAUGAUGAGGAUGAAGAAGAGGGUAUGAACUUUGAUUGUUCUGAGUUUUUCGUAUAUUUGUUGUUUACCGUGUGGUUACAGGUGAAUGUUUAGAAUAUUGGUGAUUUCAAAUUAGGGUUUCCUACGUGGCAUUGUUUGAUAUUGAUGUGAACUAUCAUACAAUUGCUCUUUCGGGCAGGCUGUGCAUAAUGAUUGCUCUUGCAUUCUUGCUUGGACAGUGAACCUGGUCUUGAGACAUAUCCUGACAUUUGUGAAGCUGCUUUUGGUACUACUGGAUGUAUUGCCAUUUUAGUAAGUCUAUCUUCACACUCAUCUUUAUGCUCUUUUCUUGUAUGUAUUUUGAAGUUGGAGUGGUGUCUAAUCUCAAUUUCCAUUGAUUCCUCCAUUUUAUGGUUGCAGAUAGUAUUGUAUGUCAAGUUAUAUGCAAGUACAUCUUCCUUCAUUCAAUUAGUACAAGAUAAAUAGCAAUCCAUGAUACCUUUUUCUAUUUUUCAGUGUUAUAUUUUGAGCUUUUAAAUUUUGGAGUUGAAUAAAUGUCACAUACCUUGGAUUAUAAUUUUUUUUCAUAAAAACUAUGUUGUCACGCAGGGAUGUUGCAUUGAGUAUAUAAUUUUGGAAGGUGACAACUUGGCAUCCUUGUUUCCAAAUGCAUACUUAAAUUUAAGUGUAUUUGUGUUGACUCCGAAAACACUCUUUGCUGUGAUUACCCCAUUGGUUGUUCUUCCUACAGUUUGGCUUCGUGACCUUCGUAUUCUUAGUUAAAUUUCAGGUAACUCUUAUUUUGCGCAAUAGUGACUUGAUUUUUGGUUAACAUUUGAGCUUAAUAUAACCAUUUAUUUACCAUGUCUGUGAUAGCCGGUGGAGUUAUUGCACCUGUUUAAGUAAUUAUGUGUUUGUUAUGGGUCGGCGUAGAAGAAGUUGGCUUUCAACGUUCAUGGACAAUGCUCGAUCUUGCAACCCUACCUAUUGCGAUUGGUCUUUACGGAUACUUUUAUUCUGGACAUGCUGUGUUCCUAAACAUUAAUACAUCAAUGUCAAAUCCAAACUAAUUUUUUAAAAUACUAGUAGCAUAAUUAACCCAAGAUCAUCUUUAGUCAUGGUUUAAAAUUCCGAACGAAUGUGUUAUGAAUGAUUAUCCUUUUAAAUCUAUCUAAUAUAAUGUAUGAUUAUUUUUAUUGUAGCUUCGGAGUUUGUAGCUCACUCUAUGUUGGAGGUGCUGUUAUGGGAUACGUAAUGUUUGGAGAAGAUACUCUCAAUUCACUCUUAACCUGCCCCAAGAUUUGGAUGCAACCAAGAUUGUUGCCUGGACUACGGUGGUUUAUCCAUUUACCAAAUAUCCUUUAUACAUGUCGUGUGAAUAUAUAUAUGCAUGAAUAUAGAAUGAAAAAAAAUCAUCAUGAGAAGUUUCAUUUCUUCUUCAAUCUCUUCAUAGAGUAUUCUUAUAUACAGAUGAUGAAUUAUGAUUUUUCUUAACUAGCAUCGAUACGUAUGCAUUGACUAUGUCUCUCUUGGCAACGAGUCUUGAAGAGUUAAUACCAUUAAACCAUUCAAAGGCUUACCUAUUUUCCGUUUUCAUCAGAACAUGCCUUGUAUUUUCUACCCUUGUUAUUGUUCUCUAAGUUCCCUUUUUCAGUAAGCCUUAUCAAUCGUUGCAACUGUAAUAUGACAUAGUCGUACUAUGUUAUAGAUAAGACGCAUCUGAUGAUUUUUUGCAGGUUUGGUAAUAUCGUUGAUUGGAUCAAUACUUACAAUACUUGUAUUAAGUUCCCUUCCUUUUUUCGGUUAUUUCUCAUAGUGUUAUUGACUGCAUCAUUUUACUGACUAAUAUCAACCUUGCUGACUGACUUUGAUUCUACCAUGUGUUUUUUACCUAAGAAACUUGCGAGGCAAAGUCACGCGAUUACAGAUAUGAUAGUUCAACUAAUAUCACGCCAUCAAUUAUCAUUUGAAGUAUCAUGUAGAGAAUUCUAAUUUUUUUAGUGUGUUUAAUGGAUGCAGAUUCUUUCCUAUUUCACAUACAUGGAUAAUUCUUGGAACAGUCUUGUAAUAUCAAUUUUAUCACAGGUACACAUUUGAUAAAUUGAUUUCAGGAUUUUAACUGCAUUAUAUUUUAUAUCCCUGUUGGAUAUAUUUUUCAAAACACUGAAAGUCCUCGUUUUUUUAUUAGGCACAAUUUGUUUUUGAAUGACAUGUUAAUCUUAUUAGUUGUUCUCCUAAUCUGUUCAUUUUUUAUGACAAGCAAAGUUCAAGUUUCAUAUGUUUUCUCUUUAGGUUGCCCAAAAUUACCUGAAAAAGAUUUUCAACAUUGAAACUUUUGCUUUGAUAACAAUGGAACUUUGUAUACAAUAUAUAUUCAUGAAUUCUGUUGUUCAGAACUAACACAAUUUCAGUAGAUUAUCCAAACUCUGGAGAAAAUGUGAUACAUACAUUAUGUAGCAUAACAACGAGAGUAAUUAACUAUAUUGAGACCAAGGUGUGCAUGUUGUGUAUGGUUCUAGAUAACUAGUUUUUAUAUAAGCUACUCUCAUUUUUUUUGCAUAUUUAAAGUUGUAUAUUCUUUGAAGUCAUGGUGCAAUUUUUUAAUCCUAACAGAGGAUUAUCUUUACUGACUUGCUCUAGUUUUAGUUGGCUGGCUACAAGUGUGUUCUGGCAUUAGUUUUAGCUGGCAUUAGUGUUGUCAUGAUUACAGGUUUUCAUCACCAGUUUAUCACAAGAGUUCAUUGAGGAUGAGAGCUUCCAAUCAAUAGGGAAGUCAAGUAGCUUCACAGUGUCACCAGUUUAAAUUGAAACCCUUUGUUAUGAAACUCAAUUUAAAGUUUUCGUUAUGUAAAUGCACUAGACGAACUUGGUUUUUAGUUAGAUAUAUUUAGUGUUGCAACUUGUGAAUUGACCUUUGAUUCAUUUUGGUUGUUACUGUUAUUAGUUAGUUAGCAGAGUAAAGUUGGAACAUAUUAUUUUAUUUAGAGUAAAUUGAUAUUAGUAAGGUUAGUAGUGUAUAGAAAAUUAUUUGACUUUUGAAGUUUUAUUUCUUAUUCUAGAAAUAAUAUAAAUUGAUGAACUGGAAUAGAUAUUAAACUUAGAUUAAGAAAUAAUUGAUGUAGAAUAAUAUUUAGUUUGAUGAUAAAAUAUAAUAUUUUAUUUUUCAAAUGAUAGUUAGUACGAAGGUUGAAUUUCAUUUAUUAAAAAAAUACAACUUGUUAGGUCAGUUAAGUUUAUCCGAUUUAAGAAAGAAACUUCUUAAGUCGGGUACAUAUGGCAUUAGAGCUUUCUAAAAGCCUAGACUUAUUAAGUCGGGUACGAUUUAACAGACCUAAUAAAAUUUUCUUAAGUCAGGUCUAAAUCCGAC